ACAUAUGUGUGUGUGUGUGUGUGUGUGUGUUUGUGUGUUUGUGUGUGUGUGUGUGUGUGUGUGUGUGUUUGUGUGUGCAAUGUCUAUAGAAAUACGAAGUCAAGAUUUGGUAAUUAGUAACGCAACAGUAUGUAUGAUUCAUAGUUUUCGCUAUUAUUACUCCAUAAGUGUGGCGUUCUCUGAGGAGUCGUAUUAAAUCAGUUGAGCGAGAAAAUAGUCGUUUUCUUAUUUCAACUCGAGCAACUACUAGCUGAAUGGUUCCAAGGAGGGUGAAAAACAAGUAUAAAAACUUACUCCCUAUACAUGUGCUAUAUGAUAUCUGAGAUACUGAAAGAAAAAUCUUGCCCAUUCUGACAAAAUGGGAAUUUAAUCCUGUUCUCUACGCAUGUUUGGCACGUUUGCAAUUCUUUUUUUUUUUGUAUUCGUCAGCGCAUGUCAAAGCUUCGAUGCAUUAUCCUAAUGCGUUUAAGAUAGAAAUGCUCAUUUCUAAACGCUUGUUUAGAAAUGGAACUUGAGCAGCUUGAAGAAAGAGGAACCAUCUAGAAAAUAAAGAAUCGUAUAUUUGAUACUCUUUAUGAUAAUUAAUCUACAUAAAUUCUUAGCUAUUCAUUUUGUGGCUAAUUUUAAUAUAUGGUAAAUAAAAAAGAAAAUGUGUCCGAUGGUAUAUGACGUCAUAAUGGCAUAUGAGAAAUCGAGGUGAAAACGAAGCUGACACCUUUCUACAAUGUGGACGCUAGGCAGUCUGAAAUUGCAAUAGAGGCCGCAUCAUUGGGAUAAGGGAAAAUAAUUUCUGUCCUAGUGAAACAUCCAGAGAGCCGGGUAUCCCCCGCUCGAUGAUGUACAGGUGAAUAGUGUGGGGCGAGGAAGACCACCCCGAACGACCGCUCUCGUUCCGGAUGCCCCUUCACCAAUUCAAUCUACAGACGCUAACAAGCUGCACGGUGAAGAAAACGACUACAUGCAAAUGAGAUUCAUCACAGAUCGUUAUCAAAGAGAGGUUUAAAAAAAAAAGCAAUGCCUCCCAGCAGUAUGUGGAGAGUACACGGCAAGCUCCAUUGCUUGAUGAGAGAUAACAGAAGUGACAGACCAAAUAUCUAUGAAAUGGCGGAAGUGGCCAUUUGACCUGUAAUAUAUGGGGGUGGAUUUAUAUGCAUGAUGUUGGUGAACUCGCCGGAGAUUCAAUUUAAGUAAAUGUUUUGAAUUGUUAGAAGAAAUGUAACUCCCAUCUGUACGCUGCUGUGACUUGACCCUGCCCAUUUUCGUGCAGGAUAACUACCCAAUACACACGUCAAGGGCAGUUACAAGUGGUUUCGUGACCAAAACCACAUGGAAGUCCUUCCGCGGCCAAGCAAGGCAUGUGGCUCAAACCCGAUGAAAAAUAUUUGGGUGAAUAUUGUCAAUAUUUGGAAAACGGCUGAUGAUGCUAAAAGGGAAUGGAAAGUGUUACGGAGGAAACCGAGACCUCACAUAAGCACAUCACCUCUGUCCCGUGGAUUAGACAAGGUUCUGAAUAACUAUAGAUUGUUCUUGUUAUAAGUAUGGACGUUCCCAGCACAAAUAAACCGAUAGUAAGAAUACCUUCGAAAUGAAUAAGCAUCCUACCAAUUAGUCGAUUCACUGAAGUCCCCGA
rnacentral:lncRNA from 1 species